rnacentral:rRNA from 1 species
GACGAACGCUGGCGGCGUGCUUAACACAUGCAAGUCGAACGGAAAGGCCCUGCUUUUGUGGGGUGCUCGAGUGGCGAACGGGUGAGUAACACGUGAGUAACCUGCCCUUGACUUUGGGAUAACUUCAGGAAACUGGGGCUAAUACCGGAUAGGAGCUCCUGCUGCAUGGUGGGGGUUGGAAAGUUUCGGCGGGUGGGGAUGGACUCGCGGCUUAUCAGCUUGUUGGUGGGGUAGUGGCUUACCAAGGCUUUGACGGGUAGCCGGCCUGAGAGGGUGACCGGGCACAUUGGGACUGAGAUACGGCCCAGACUCCUACGGGAGGCAGCAGUGGGGAAUAUUGCACAAUGGGCGGAAGCCUGAUGAAGCAACGCCGCGUGCGGGAUGACGGCCUUCGGGUUGUAAACCGCUUUCGCCUGUGACGAAGCGUGAGUGACGGUAAUGGGUAAAGAAGCACCGGCUAACUACGUG